rnacentral:rRNA from 1 species
UACGGAGGGGGCUAGCGUUGUUCGGAAUUACUGGGCGUAAAGCGCACGUAGGCGGCUUUGUAAGUUAGAGGUGAAAAGCCCCAGGGCUCAACCCUGGAAUUGCCUUUAAGACUGCAUCGCUUGAACAUCGGAGAGGUAAGUGGAAUUCCGAGUGUAGAGGUGAAAUUCGUAGAUAUUCGGAAGAACACCAGUGGCGAAGGCGACUUACUGGACGAUUGUUGACGCUGAGGUGCGAAAGCGUGGGGAGCAAACAGG